rnacentral:rRNA from 1 species
GAGUGGCGAACUGGUGAGUAACACGUGGGAAACCUGCCCAGAAGCGGGGGAUAACACCUGGAAACAGAUGCUAAUACCGCAUAACAACUUGGACCGCAUGGUCCGAGUUUGAAAGAUGGCUUCGGCUAUCACUUUUGGAUGGUCCCGCGGCGUAUUAGCUAGAUGGUGGGGUAACGGCUCACCAUGGCAAUGAUACGUAGCCGACCUGAGAGGGUAAUCGGCCACAUUGGGACUGAGACACGGCCCAAACUCCUACGGGAGGCAGCAGUAGGGAAUCUUCCACAAUGGACGAAAGUCUGAUGGAGCAACGCCGCGUGAGUGAAGAAGGGUUUCGGCUCGUAAAACUCUGUUGUUAAAGAAGAACAUAUCUGAGAGUAACUGUUCAGGUAUUGACGGUAUUUAACCAGAAAGCCACGGCUAACUACGUGCCAGCAGCCGCGGUAAUACGUAGGUGGCAAGCGUUGUCCGGAUUUAUUGGGCGUAAAGCGAGCGCAGGCGGUUUUUUAAGUCUGAUGUGAAAGCCUUCGGCUCAACCGAAGAAGUGCAUCGGAAACUGGGAAACUUGAGUGCAGAAGAGGACAGUGGAACUCCAUGUGUAGCGGUGAAAUGCGUAGAUAUAUGGAAGAACACCAGUGGCGAAGGCGGCUGUCUGGUCUGUAACUGACGCUGAGGCUCGAAAGUAUGGGUAGCAAACAGGAUUAGAUACCCUGGUAGUCCAUACCGUAAACGAUGAAUGCUAAGUGUUGGAGGGUUUCCGCCCUUCAGUGCUGCAGCUAACGCAUUAAGCAUUCCGCCUGGGGAGUACGGCCGCAAGGCUGAAACUCAAAGGAAUUGACGGGGGCCCGCACAAGCGGUGGAGCAUGUGGUUUAAUUCGAAGCUACGCGAAGAACCUUACCAGGUCUUGACAUACUAUGCAAAUCUAAGAGAUUAGACGUUCCCUUCGGGGACAUGGAUACAGGUGGUGCAUGGUUGUCGUCAGCUCGUGUCGUGAGAUGUUGGGUUAAGUCCCGCAACGAGCGCAACCCUUAUUAUCAGUUGCCAGCAUUAAGUUGGGCACUCUGGUGAGACUGCCGGUGACAAACCGGAGGAAGGUGGGGAUGACGUCAAAUCAUCAUGCCCCUUAUGACCUGGGCUACACACGUGCUACAAUGGAUGGUACAACGAGUUGCGAACUCGCGAGAGUAAGCUAAUCUCUUAAAGCCAUUCUCAGUUCGGAUUGUAGGCUGCAACUCGCCUACAUGAAGUCGGAAUCGCUAGUAAUCGCGGAUCAGCAUGCCGCGGUGAAUACGUUCCCGGGCCUUGUACACACCGCCCGUCACACCAUGAGAGUUUGUAACACCCAAAGUCGGUGGGGUAACCUUUUAGGAACCAGC